rnacentral:rRNA from 1 species
UACAGAGGGUGCAAGCGUUAAUCGGAAUUACUGGGCGUAAAGCGUGCGUAGACGGUUAUUUAAGUCAGGUGUGAAAGCCCAGGGCUCAACCUUGGAAUUGCAUUUGAGACUGAAUAGCUAGGGUGCGGAAGAGGGAUGCGGAAUUCCAGGUGUAGCGGUGGAAUGCGCAGAUAUCAGGAGGAACACCAAUGGCGAAGGCAGAUCUCUGGGCCGUAACUGACGCUGAGGAGCGAAAGCAUGGGGAGCGAACAGG